rnacentral:lncRNA from 1 species
ACGACGAAAAUGGCGAGAUGCGACGCGAAUUUAUUUUUUAUUUAUUUAUUUAUUUUUUUUUUAAUAACGUUCGCUUUACCGGUAAAUUUCUACGGCGUUCCUACCCCGUAUCGAUAUAACUCCGCGUGUUUAUUUUAUUAGUGACGGGCGCUGUCGAAUAGUUCACACCGUCGACAGUUUCGCGAUGGAUUAUCGAAUAUUUCGAUAAAACCGCUCGCAUAGCGUGUUCGCCGCUUUUCCCCGAUACUGUUAAAUAAUUUUUGUCUGUGCGUAGCGAAACAAUAUAAGAUUUAGAUUCUACGCUGUGGUCGAUGAGCAAAUAAUUCUACGACAAUUUAUGAACGCUGCACCCGCAGCUGGUCACGCGUAGCUAUACAAAAGACUUGGAUGGUUCGGUGGCCUUUAGUGUCAACGAAAAUAUUUCAAUAAUGUCCGGAGGGGAAACUAAGCAGAAACUGGCCGUCGAACAGUUCGAACGAUAAUUAUACAACGCUUAUCUUAUGUACAUAACGUGAUAAUCGCGUUCGGAUGCGAUCGACCGCCGGCGGACGUCGCCAGUUUUCGGACGCGUUUUGAUUAUCGAAAUUCCCGACCGGCGGCCGCAUACUGGUGCGCGAACGACGACGUCGAUUGUAACCCGAAACAAACGGACGGUUUUUUUCGCGGUUCUGCGCGGUACUUCUGAUCGGGAAAAGUAAAAAACCGAAACCGACAGAAUUUCUCCGCGACGACGUACACGCCGUGAUUUCGAACUGAUCGAUGGGGGGGGAGGGGGUGGGCACGUUUUCGCUCGAAUCGCCGGCGCGUGGUGUAAAACGAUUAAAACACUCCGAACAUCGGCCUCCGCCGCCGCCCCGCCACUCCCGACUACGUUUUGACCGCCUGCGUCGCGCGACAAUACUUUUACACGAGUUACACAAAAUCGCGUUCCGUUAACGGUAAUACAAAUAUUAUUGUUGCGCGAUUAUGCGAAAAAUUUUCAUAAAAAAAAAAAAAUUCCUAUUCGAUAAAACGUGAAUCGCACGAUAAUUUAUAAUACGAAUGUAUUUCACGUUGCUGUGGACUUAUUAUUCGGCGGGGGCACAACGAAUACUGCGUUAUAGUGUCGAACGGCUCGGGAGCGUACACAAAGAUGGGCGGGGGGGGGGGCUUGGAGGAUUUCGGGUGAAAACUGACUAAACCCUUCGGUAAUUGUCUGGUGUGUAACCGUCAUGAUUGUUGUUGUCAACGGUGUAAUCUGUUGGCUAUGAAUUCGACUGUGAUUAUAACCGUAGGUGCACAAACAACGAGCUCCAGCCCGCCCAUAAAAAAUAUUCCCGCGUGCGCCCCUGGAACGGCCAUCCGACAAACGACCGCGAUCGACGCAAGUAUAUAUUGUAAUAUUAUUAUAUCGGCCGGAAAAUAAUAAUAUUUGUCGUCGAUCUCGUACGAAUGAGUAAUUCGAGAUUACAGAUGCGGGCUCUCCGUUAUAUUUUACGCGCGGUUUUUUUUAUAACGCGCACCCGGUGAUUUUCGACCCUUCACAAGUCGCGAGCCCCUAGUUUUUUUUUUUUUUCGUAUAAGACGACUCCCUAAUGCGGAAACUGUUCGACAGAAUUCGAUUUGAAAACCACUGUUGGCGUGCUACGAUAAAAAUCGACGGCGUGUGUAUCGAAUACGUGCCCGUACGGAUACAACAACAGUUACAAUGCUCAGGAGCUUCACUCCUGUAUAACUCCCGGUUACGCGGUGUAUUUUAUUCUUUCCGACAGUGCCGCUAUUUUCGACGGUAGAUUUAAAAGCGAACAAAUCUAGCGCGGACGAUUUGCAGUGGCGGCCUGCCAGGUGUGGCGCCCGUCCCGUCGACACUGAUAAAUAAUUGUCGUCCCGUCACAAUGAAAUAUAUUAUUGCGGUUUAUAUCAUAAACGGCGCGUUUCGAAAUGUUAAAAUUAAUAAUUUCGCCGGUCGGUAUCCAGACAAACGUGUACGUCGCCGCUCGCCCGAUAAAUAUUUUCAAAAACGAUUAGAGGCGCUCGACAACCCGGAGCCGGCGUAUGUAGUCGGCAUAAAUAACAACGUCAACGACACCGUGUUUUCUGUGCGGCGGCGAUAGUGAACACACGGCUUAUUAGCGCACCCCCUCCCCUAUUUAGUGACUCACAACGGUGCAUCAGAAUAUCGGUUCCCGUUCGGCCGAAUCCGGUUCCCAAAUCAAUCAAUCAAACACACACGCACACCUCCCGAUUCCCGUUCUGACACAGGUUCAGUACUGUUCACUCGGGAUUUUCAACUGUACGUACUUGAAUCGCGCGCUGACGACGGCGUAAAAUAUUUCCAGAAUAAAACGCUUUUUUUCUCGUUUCGCCCCCGGUGGGAUUUCGUGUCGCGGCGCGUCCUCCGCGACAUCGCGUCGACCCGAUCCGAAAAACCCGGCGCGCGCGCGCGCGCGUUCGAUAAUAUAAAAUUGCCUAUUUAUGUUUUUACAGCACGCCAAUUACAGCGAUCAAUUAUCAUUGGACAAUGCGUCCGACGGUCGUUCGCCCGACGAACGUGUCGUUUUGAAACAUUACGCCGGCGUCGGAAUGGAUUUCCUACGACGCGUGUAGCGGCUGUCCGCGUCGUAAUAAUAAUUGGUAUCGCCAACGUCGUCGUCGCCGUCGUGCCGUAAUAAUCGGGAUCGCGUUAUUUGUCGUACGCACGCGCAUGAUAAAUCCGCGGUCGAUUCGCGGGUGAUCGCCAGGCGCGUCGGUCGGACGGACGGACGGACGCUACGCGCGUGUAAUGCGCGAAUAUUGACGUUGACCGUUCGUCCGUCGCGGCGGUGACGGCGACACAACGACAAUAAUGACGUUGCGUUGCGGCCGUGCGCCGCGGCAUUCGCGAUACGCGCGCGACGUCGACGACAUUUAUUAUCGGAGCGCGAGCGGUACGAGUGCGCACGGCGAUCUCGACGUCUGCGGGCGUAAGAAAAAAAUUUAAGGAUUUCCUUCGACGGCCGGUUACGCGAUACGAGCACAAUGUUAUCGCGCUGUACUCGCGGCCGUGCCGUACGUUAUUAUUGGUUAUUAGCGUUAUCGCUAUUAUCAUCGUGUACGCGUGUACGCCCGCCCGGCGUACACGAAACACGUUCGCGCGCGCGUGCGUAUUAUAUAAACGCGCGUCUCGGGUUCUGGCCGUGUACCUCUACGCGUACACCGCGAUACAGGGUGUCCCGCGAAAAUAUUUAACCCGUUUGCAAUAUCUUCGGAAAUCGUAAAGACGAUCGAAUUCCGGUUUUACCCCCCCCCCAUCCAUCCACCACACAUAAUAUUAUUAUUCGUACAUGAAGACGGCCGUUUUAUAGAGUUUGUUCGGUUGAAAAUGUUGACGUAUCGACACAUUUUGUUCUCGUCGAAUUCGUGAUUUUUUUGAGAAAAAGAAACGUACAGUCAAUUAAUCGUAUUAAUAGUUAUCAACCAUUUGUACGGAAUGCGAUUACACCCUGCUGCACAACUAUAUUGGUACUUUUCUCUGAACUUUAGACAAUUAUUGAAAAUCACGAACCUAACGAACACAUAAAAUCGAUACGUCAACAUUUUCAGACGGACAAACUCUAAAAAAAAAAAUGCUAUAUAUUCGAAGUUUUCAAAAACGAAAACAAUAAAACAAGAAGUUAUUUUUCGUACAUUUUUUCACCAAAACGUAAACAAAUUAAUGCAAUAUAAAUAUUUGUACUCCUUAUCCCUGUGAGUAGUAUAUAAAAAAAAAAAAAAAAAAACAGAAUUUGAUUAUCUAUUUUUUUUCAUUAUCCCCGGAGAGAUAAUACAAUGGGUAUAUCUUCGCGGAACACCCUGUAUAACGAUAUUACAACCGGCACAAUAUUGUCGGCGUUAUACGAGUGGAAUCACGACUAAGCAUGGAGGUUAUCGGUUUGUAACGUGAAAAAAAAACCGUCUACGCAUACAAUAUUUAUAGGCGUGCGGCGGGAGUCGGUUACAUCACAUGAUGAAAAUAAUAUAACGCUGUUGAAACGAUAAUCACGGCGAUAUGCGUCCGUCGCUUUCGUAUUUUUGAGGGAGAUGGGGGGGGCGGGUUCGACCGAAGGGUAUUACCCCCCCCCUCCCCCAGAAAAUGUAUGACAUCACGACACGUAAACUACACGUGAUGAUAUUAUGAUGUAGUAUACGUGAAAUGGGCCGAUUGUUUCAUCUUAUUGACAAUGAAAUAAAAAAAAUAUACCGUGUUAUAUAAAUAACCGUAUUUUAACGAGCUACGAAAAAUUCGUCGUCGAGCGUAUUUUAUUAAUUUUGUCCCCAGGUGUUAAUAUUCCUAUAACCGCCUUUUGGCAUGUACCCUUGGAAAUUUACGAUACCUCCCCUCCCCCCUUCGGGUAUGAAUGUAUGAAAUAAACACUGUCGAGCACUACCUACAUAGUAUUUAAAUUUAAAUUUAGUUUAUGAUAUUGGGUUUACAACCGACACACACACACACACACACGCCUGCGCCAAUUUGCGCUCGUCCUAUCCAAUUUCAGGCUGUUUGUUCGGACGAGUUUUCAAUUUUAUUUUUAGUCGAAUAUUGCACUCGGAACACUCAAGUUAUACAAAACAAGUAAAGGCCGAACCGGAUGCACUCAACUUCUACGAUGUUUGUGGGCUCGGUGUGAUUUAGAUGGAUUCGGCCGGUCAAAUUGUGUUAAUGCUUUCCCCUACCCGUCCUUCGAAAAACGAGUCGGUAAAUACGUCGCCGGGUCGAAAUGCGCUCGGAUCGAAUAAGUCGAUGUUUCAACAAAAUCGUCUCGAAAAUUGAACUCGAUUUUAAAAUAAUUGUAAAUGCACCUGCAGUAUAUUAUCAACACGAUUUGUACAUUAUUUUUUCAAUGUACUUAGCCUUAACUUUUGUAGGACGAUUUUUUUUUUAAAAAAAAAAACUAAUCGCUUACAGCCCUCGAAAAUAACUUCUCUUUAAAUGUUGUAUAAUUUAUAAGUUUAAACUCCAAUUUCAACCUAUGGGCACGGUAAACGUGGUAUUAUAACAUGGUAAAUGUGCGUUCACCAAAUUAUUUUUACGCCGUUAGUUUUUAUUGAAUAUUACGCUCUAAUGAGCGAAUAAUUAGCCUAUAAUUUUUCAAGCUUUUAACGUAAGAGAACGUUAUUCAUGUUUACACGUCGAUUUUUUUUUUUUUUUUUUUUUCGAAAUUUUUACGCGAUGAAUAAUAAAC